rnacentral:rRNA from 1 species
CCUACGGGAGGCAGCAGUGAGGAAUAUUGGUCAAUGGACGAGAGUCUGAACCAGCCAAGUAGCGUGAAGGAUGACUGCCCUAUGGGUUGUAAACUUCUUUUAUAAAGGAAUAAAACGAGGCACGUGUGCCUUUUUGCAUGUCCUUUAUGAAUAAGGAUCGGCUAACUCCGUGCCAGCAGCCGCGGUAAUGCGGAGGAUCCGAGCGUUAUCCGGAUUUAUUGGGUUUAAAGGGAGCGUAGAUGGGUUGUUAAGUCAGUUGUGAAAGUUUGCGGCUCAACCGUAAAAUUGCAAUUGAUACUGGCAGUCUUGAGUACAGUUGAGGUAGGCGGAAUUCGUGGUGUAGCGGUGAAAUGCUUAGAUAUCACGAAGAACCCCGAUUGCGAAGGCAGCUUACUAAACUGUGACUGACAUUGAUGCUCGAAAGUGUGGGUAGCAAACAGGAUUAGAUACCCCAGUAGUC